rnacentral:rRNA from 1 species
GAUGAACGCUGGCGGCGUGCUUAACACAUGCAAGUCGAACGAAGCAUUUGCGACAGAUUUUUUCGGAAUGAAGUUGCUUAUGACUGAGUGGCGGACGGGUGAGUAACGCGUGGGUAACCUGCCUUGUACUGGGGGAUAGCAGCUGGAAACGGCUGGUAAUACCGCAUAAGCGCACAAUGUUGCAUGACAUGGUGUGAAAAGCUCCGGUGGUAUAAGAUGGACCCGCGUCUGAUUAGCUAGUUGGUGAGAUAACAGCCCACCAAGGCGACGAUCAGUAGCCGACCUGAGAGGGUGACCGGCCACAUUGGGACUGAGACACGGCCCAGACUCCUACGGGAGGAAGCAGUGGGGAAUAUUGCACAAUGGAGGAAACUCUGAUGCAGCGACGCCGCGUGAGUGAAGAAGUAAUUCGUGAUGUAAAGCUCUAUCAGCAGGGAAGAUAGUGACGGUACCUGACUAAGAAGCUCCGGCUAAAUACGUG